rnacentral:rRNA from 1 species
UAUGUGAUCGUCUCUCGCAUAUCAAUAAGCGGAGGAAAAGAAACUAACAAGGAUUCCCUUAGUAACGGCGAGUGAAGCGGGAAGAGCUCAAAUUUGGAAUCUUCAAGGUUUUACCUUGACGAAUUGUAGUUUAAAGAAGUGUUUUCUGUUGAAGUUUUGGUAAAAGUUCUUUGGAAUAGGACAUCAUAGAGGGUGGGAAUCCCGUAUUUGACCAUUAUUUUCAGCUGUGUGAUACACUUUCAAAGAGUCGGAUUGUUUGGGAAUGCAGCCCAAAAUGGGUGGUAAAUUUCAUCUAAAGCUAAAUAUUGGCGAGAGACCGAUAGCGAACAAGUACCGUGAGGGAAAGAUGAAAAGAACUUUGAAAAGAGAGUUAAACAGUACGUGAAAUUGUCAAAAGGGAAGCGUUUGACACCAGUGUUGUUUUUCUGAAAAUCAAUUAAAGAACUGUUUAUGCUAAGUUGUUUAGACUUUAUCAGCUAUCUGUUUAGUUUUGAGCUUUUCUUUAAUGCACUUUUCAGUUAACAAGUCAACAUCAAUUUCUUUUGCUGUAAAAAAGCUUGAGGAAGGUGGCUUGAGAUUCGUCUUAAGUGUUUAUAGCCUCCUGCCUAUGCAGUCGGAGAGAUUGAGGUCUGCAGCGUAGAUCCUUCGGGGCUAAAUGCAUUUGUGCUAAGUUAUAGCAUUUUAUAGACAACUUGUUGACUAUGAUUUGUCUUGUAGCUUACUCGCUUAUGUUAUUUUACCUACGCUUAGGAUGUUGAGUAGCGACAUACGCAC